rnacentral:rRNA from 1 species
UUUUAUUGGGCCUAAAGCGUCCGUAGCCGGUUAAUAAGUCUCUGGUGAAAUCCUGUAGCUUAACGUGUGGGAAGUUGCGUGGAGAUACUAUUAGACUUGAGACCGGGAGAGGUUAGAGGUACUCCCAGGGUAGAGGUGAAAUUCUGUAAUCCUGGGAGGACCGCCUGUUGCGAAGGCGUCUAACUGGAACGGUUCUGACGGUGAGGGACGAAAGUUAGGGGCGCGAACCGGAUUAGGAUACCCGGGUAGUCCUAAACUGUAAACGAUGCGGACUUUGGUGUUGGGGUGGCUUUGAGCUGCUCCAGUGCCGAAGGGAAGCUGUUAAGUCCGCCGCCUGGGAAGUACGGUCGCAAGACUGAAACUUAAGGAAUUGGCGGGGGAGCACCACAACGCGUGGAGCCUGCCGGUUUAAUUGGAUUCAACGCCGGACAUCUCACCAGAGGCGACAGCUGUAUGAUAGCCAGGUUGAUGACUUUGCUUGACUAGCUGAGGAGUGGUGCAUGG